GGGAAGAUGGCUCAAUGGUAGUAGAGUGCUUGCCUUGCAUGCAUGAGGCCCUGGGUUCGAUUCCUCAGUACCA
rnacentral:tRNA from 1 species